GGAUUUUGAUCCAUUCGUAGUCUUGUCAUUAGCUCUAGAGUCUAGAUUCGCCAGUAGCUACUCUCUGCGUGUAUGAUGAACAUCAAGUUAAGCUAUAAUGGAUUCAGAGGUAGUAGUCUGUUGUCUGUAAAAAACUUUGCGAUGGUUGAUUGUGUGCGAUGCUCCUCUCUGCCUGUAUGAUGAACAUCAAGUUAAUCUAUAAUAGUAUUAUUAUGCUAUCUCAUGAUUCCUGGACUCUUGCCUUGAUUUUGCAUCGUGUCGCAGCAGUUGGAUUGUUGCAUUGGUGGAUUUUGUUGGAUUUAGAUUUUAGAGAAGGGUCCUGCAUUUAACGGUAAUUCCAAUAGUGUUGCAUUGGACUGUAAUUGUAAUCGGGUUCGUUCAAUUGUUGGAUAAAGAGAAGGAUCUUAGCAUCA
rnacentral:lncRNA from 1 species